GACGAACGCUGGCGGCGUGCCUAAUACAUGCAAGUAGAACGCUGAAGGAGGAGCUUGCUCUUCUGGAUGAGUUGCGAACGGGUGAGUAACGCGUAGGUAACCUGCCUGGUAGCGGGGGAUAACUAUUGGAAACGAUAGCUAAUACCGCAUAACAGUAGAUGUUGCAUGACAUUUGCUUAAAAGGUGCAAUCGCACCACUACCAGAUGGACCUGCGUUGUAUUAGCUAGUUGGUGGGGUAACGGCUCACCAAGGCGACGAUACAUAGCCGACCUGAGAGGGUGAUCGGCCACACUGGGACUGAGACACGGCCCAGACUCCUACGGGAGGCAGCAGUAGGGAAUCUUCGGCAAUGGACGGAAGUCUGACCGAGCAACGCCGCGUGAGUGAAGAAGGUUUUCGGAUCGUAAAGCUCUGUUGUAAGAGAAGAACGAGUGUGAGAGUGGAAAGUUCACACUGUGACGGUAUCUUACCAGAAAGGGGCGGCUAACUACGU
rnacentral:rRNA from 1 species